GAUGAAGAACGCAGCGAAAUGCGAUACGUAAUGUGAAUUGCAGAUUUCAGUGAAUCAUCGAAUCUUUGAACGCCCAUUGCGCCCGCUAGUAUUCUGGCGGGCAUGCCUGUUCGAGCGUCAUUUCAACCAUCAAGCCCUAGGCUUGCGUUGGAGCCCUGCGGCUGCCGCAGGCUCCCAAAUCCAGUGGCGGGCUCGUCGUCGUACCGAGUGCAGUAAACAUCCUCGCUCAGGGAACGUGACGGGUUCUUGCCGUGAAACCCCCCACAUAUCAAGGUUGACCUCGGAUCAGGUAGGAAUACCCGCUGAACUUAAGCAUAUCAAUAAGCGGAGGA
rnacentral:misc_RNA from 1 species